UCCAUAUUAGUAACACGAGCACCAAGAAACAGUGUGAUCAUCACUCCCACCUUAGCAUUAAACAGAUGUUGUGCUUACUUUCUAUGAGAGGGGUUUUUUGUUUGUUUUUUUAAGAAUGAAGCUGGACUGAGAAUUCUGGAAACUGCAGUCCUCUAUUUUACUACAGAAUUGGUGGUGGCUGUGCAACUUUCCUCACACCAUCCCACUGCUGUGCCUGGGAGCUGAUAGGAACAAGACCAGGUGAGAUCCCUGCCCUCAUUCCAAAUUCUUUGUACUGGGUGGAAGGGGCAGAGUGGUGUAAAGAGGCUGUAAAAGCCCCAGGUGUCACUAGGGAAGGAUUCCUCUGGCUCUUAGUGAUUAGGCUGUCCUCUGAGGACCCCUUUAUAAGUUCUGGUGUCUGGGGGUUGGCUGGUGUAGGACUAUAGCACUGCUGUGGUCUAUAGUGCAGUUCCAUGAAGGUUGCCAUAACUCAGACAGGCCCUCAGAGCUGCACAGAGUGUGCAUGGGGACUGCUCCAGCUCCCUGACCAAUCCAGGAUCUGGAAGAUUCAAAGGUGGAUAAAGCCACAGUAUUCCCCUUAUCCCGGGCUCUGAGUGCUGUGCUAACACAGAACCUUACCCAGUAUCUUUAAGGAUGAGAGAAAGCCGUAAGAGAGGAAUUUAAUCUGAAGUCUAUAGCCAUUCCAAGUUAACCAAGGCAGCCUUUGAAGAAAAUGGGGGGAAACUGGAGAAGUAUGUUCUUUGUCAUAUUCGUGAUGAUAAUUAUUGGUAUAGAAUUAAUCUCAGAAACCAGAAGAUUUACCACUUUACAAGAGACAUCAGACCAGCUAAGUACAAAAGGUAAUAUCUCUGCAAGCAUACUUGCAAUUCCAACUUCAUUUUACUACAGAAAAUCUAUGGGUCAAGAUGUGAAACUUCCGGAAACUAAUUUAUCCUCUUGUAAGGGAAAGAUGGAAGGGGAGAAUCAUACUGCAUUCAAGAACCAUACUGCAUUUAACAUUUACUGUUUAGAUUUACUGUCAAAUCUGUGGCCACUCUUAAUACCUUUAAAAAUAAAAAAAUAAAAAAAGAAUUCAGGUAUUGAAAUAUGGAUUUGGAUGCCUAAUUUUAGGUACUCAAAUUUGAAAAUGUUGGCCUAAGUCCCCAUAUAGUACUUUAUGGCCCUGUUUCACUUGUUCAGCUGAGCUAUGCUCAGUGCAGAUCCAGGGAGGUGGAGCAAAGGUUGUCUUAUGACAUCUCUAUUUUUCCCUGAUCUGAGCACUGAUACCACAUCUGGUGAAAGUGGUCUGUUCUAGUUUAGGCUUUGCUUAAGUCUCAAGUGGCCCCUGGCUUCAAGAUGCCAUUCAAGC